rnacentral:rRNA from 1 species
CUGGUUGAUCCUGCCAGUAGUCAUAUGCUCGUCUCAAAGAUUAAGCCAUGCAUGUCUAAGUACAGGCUACCUUCCUUAGAGUCGAAACCGCGAAUGGCUCAUUAAAUCAGUCGUAAUCUACUGGAUUUCGAUCCGAUCACUCGGAUAACUGUGGUAAUUCUAGAGCUAAUACGUGCAAUUAAGCUCCGACGUUCGGGUAAAAUUUAUUUUUACCGGGACUGAAGGGCGCAGUUAUUAGAAUCGAGACAAAAAUUUCAGAAAGUACCCUCGUGUACCAAAGAGUCUGCUGUGGUUGGCGUCAGCGCUUUUCCACUCGCGUGUGACUCGUAUUUUUGCUUUCGAUGACUCCGGAAUAACGUGCCGAGCGCUUAGGCCUCGCAGCCGCUGCCAGUUCCUUCGAGUGUCUGCCUUAUCAGCUGUCGAUUGUAAGUCCAGUUCUUACAAUGGCUGUCACGGGUAACGGGGAAUCAGGGUUCGAUUCCGGAGAGGGAGCCUGAGAAACGGCUACCACAUCUAAGGAAGGCAGCAGGCGCGCAACUUACCCAAUCCCGGCUCAGGGAGGUAGUGACGAAAAAUACCGAUGCGAAACUCUUCCGAGGCCUCGCAAUCGGAAUGAGACGGAUCCAAAGACGCCAGUCUAGGAUCAAUUGGAGGGCAAGUCUGGUGCCAGCAGCCGCGGUAAUUCCAGCUCCAAUAGCGUAUAUUAAAGUUGCUGCGGUUAUAAAGCUCGUAGUUGGAAUUCGCUUUUCGAAUCCGGGCGGGCCGAGUAGAGAGUGGUGAUCCCGAGUAUCGGCUGAUAGUUGUUGGGUUGGUGUGAACGGGUUUCCGUUUCUCCCUUCUCCUAUCCUAUCGUUAAGUCUUUACGACCGGGAGAAGCGUGUCUCUCUCGGGCAAAAAUCCCGAACUUCCCGGUUUCGGAUCGCUAAAAUUGACGUUAGCUCUCGUUCGUACGUUGCUCUUGAACGGGUGACCGAACGCGUUGCUAACCCGUUCACUUUGACAAAAUCAAUGUGCUCAAAGCGGGUAUACUUUUAAAGAGGAUCGUCUUUCUUAAAAUUCGAUCCGUUCGCCCGAAUGGUGACGCAUGGAAUGAAGGAAUAGGACCUCGGUUCUACCUUAUAUGCUAUAAAUAUAAAACCAAAAUUUUUUGUCUUGGGUAUCUUUCUGUUUUUUUGUACAGGAACCCGAGGUAAUGAUUAACAGGAACUGACGGGGGCUUAGGUAUUGCGGGGCUAGAGGUGAAAUUCUUGGACCCUCGCAAGACCACCAACUGCGAAAGCAUUUGCCAAGGAUGUUUUCAUUAAUCACGAACGAAAGUCAGAGGUGCGAAGGCGAUCAGAUACCGCCCUAGUUCUGACCGUAAACUAUGCUGACCAGCAAUCCGGCAGUGUCUAACAAAUUUAAUAACGACCUGGCGGGCCACCCCCGGGAAACCUCAAGUCUUUGAGCUCCGGGGGAAGUAUGGUUGUAAAGCUGAAACUUAAAGGAAUUGACGGAAGGGCACCACCAGGAGUGGAGCCUGCGGCUUAAUUUGACUCAACACGGGAAAACUUACCAGGCCCAGACGCCGGAAGGAUUGACAGAUUAAAAGCUCUUUCUCGAUUCGGUGGGUGGUGGUGCAUGGCCGUUCUUAGUUGGUGGAGCGAUUUGUCUGGUUGAUUCCGAUAACGAACGAGACUCUAACCUACUAAAUAGAAGGUCGACGAAGAGGAAUCGACGGUUUAUUCCAGCCGUAAAAGAGAGAGAGAGAGCGAUAACAGGUCUGUGAUGCCCAUAGAUGUUCUGGGCCGCACGCGCGCUACAAUGCAGGGAUCAGCGCGCAUCCCCUCCGAGAGGAGCGGGCAACCGUGUUAAACCCCUUCUCAAUCGGGAUCGGGGAUUGGAAUUGUUCCCCGUGAACGAGGAAUUCCUAGUAAGCGCGAGUCAUUAACUCGCGUUAACUACGUCCCUGCCCUUUGUACACACCGCCCGUCGCUAC